rnacentral:lncRNA from 1 species
GGCGCACAUGAGCAGGAAGCUGCAGUUGGGAGCAGAGCCAAGCCUUGGACGCAAGCCCUUACUGUUAAGGGAUUCAAGGUGCUCCAAGCAGCGUCUUAACUGCUCCCCAGCACUGCCGCCCUACACUUGACUUCCAGCAGACUCCCAGCUCCCUAUUUGCCUUGAGUCAAUGCCCUGGGCUCUAAUCGUAGAGUUCUACGUGCUAGGAAGUUGGUUGGAGACACAAUCCGUUCAUGGAAGCAUCAUGAAGCAAGUGUUCACACAUUGGUGCACAUGGAGACAGUUUCUGAAAGCGGACACAGUCAAAUUCAGCACCAGUGGCACUGGACAGCCGAAGACUCCCAGACAAUGGAAGGUUGGAGCGGCUUCUUCCACUUCCAAGUUUCCACAGCAGGCAGGAGCAGCUGGGAAUUGGUGGGCCCUCGUUUCCACACCAGAUCAAACAGUCGGAAGAUCUGGCAGCUGGAGAUGCCUGAAGGCAGGUGUGCCCACCUGGCCAGAGCCGGGCCCCACCUUGCGUGCCCCCAGCUCCGCAGCCCCAUGGAGCCCCUCAACUGGGGGCAGAUCCACUUGGCAUUUGGAGCCCAGCGGGUGAGUGCUCUCUUGAUGUGAAACUGGGGUCCCUGGAGCUCCACCCAGGGUGGGGAGAGGCAGCUGAUUAGAAAACAGGUAUGAACGCUGGCUGAAACAAAUCAGCAGUUAGGAAGGUAGCUGGGGACAGGCCCGGGUGGAUCCCGUGGCCAUUUCUACUGCAUUUUUCAUUUGACCUUCUGGCUGUUGACCUUUGGCCACGAAUGUGUCGCCCCAUUCCCAAGCCUUCAUUUCCAGCCAUCCGGAAACCAGGUCCCAAGUUCCAGUGUGCUGCAAGCUCGCUGAAUAAAUUGCCGACAGACCCCUUCGGUUUUUAGUGC